CUAAGAGUUACUAACAUGCCCACAGUUAUGGUGUCUAGGGACUAUCUGAAUGGUGCCAGACUUCUGAUGUUAACCAUCAUGAUUAUGGAUGUGACCUCAAGCCCAGAUCUCCUGCCACCCUGAAUUAGCCUGAACAGGCUCCAAGCAGCUGGCCCUGUGGGAAUGUCACAGGCUGGCUUUCUCUGUUUCUGCCCAUGGCCUUUGCAGCCUGAGCUCAGGAGUGCAGCUUCCUGGGGUUUGUGAGAGGCUACACACCAUGGGCCAGCCUCUAUGCCGGCUGCCUUCGCACUCUCAGGGUCUUUCUACCGUCACUACUUUAAGGCUGCUGGAGAGUGUCAAUGGGACUGAAUUUUGAAAGUUUUGUACCCAACUUGCUUGACAUUCCACUAAUACAACCUCUG
rnacentral:lncRNA from 1 species